rnacentral:rRNA from 1 species
AGUGGCGGACGGGUGAGUAACGCGUAAGAAUCUAACUUCAGGACGGGGACAACAGUGGGAAACGACUGCUAAUACCCGAUGUGCCGCGAGGUGAAACCUAAUUGGCCUGAAGAAGAGCUUGCGUCUGAUUAGCUAGUUGGUGGGGUAAGAGCCUACCAAGGCGACGAUCAGUAGCUGGUCUGAGAGGAUGAGCAGCCACACUGGGACUGAGACACGGCCCAGACUCCUACGGGAGGCAGCAGUGGGGAAUUUUCCGCAAUGGGCGAAAGCCUGACGGAGCAACGCCGCGUGAGGGAGGAAGGUCUUUGGAUUGUAAACCUCUUUUCUCAAGGAAGAAGUUCUGACGGUACUUGAGGAAUAAGCCUCGGCUAACUCCGUGCCAGCAGCCGCGGUAAUACGGGGGAGGCAAGCGUUAUCCGGAAUUAUUGGGCGUAAAGCGUCCGCAGGUGGUCAGCCAAGUCUGCCGUCAAAUCAGGUUGCUUAACGACCUAAAGGCGGUGGAAACUGGCAGACUAGAGAGCAGUAGGGGUAGCAGGAAUUCCCAGUGUAGCGGUGAAAUGCGUAGAGAUUGGGAAGAACAUCGGUGGCGAAAGCGUGCUACUGGGCUGUAUCUGACACUCAGGGACGAAAGCUAGGGGAGCGAAAGGGAUUAGAUACCCCUGUAGUCCUAGCCGUAAACGAUGGAUACUAGGCGUGGCUU